CAUCCCGACCGCUUGUUUCCCUAGCGGUGACUCAUGAUGAUGGAUGGACGGAUAGGAGCUGGAUGGAUGCAUGCGUGGACUCAAGGGCGGAUAACCUUGACCUCCUGGAAGGCUGGAGAGCGCCGCAGCCACCCGGACAGGGUGCAGAGGACAGACGCACGGCUGGAAAACCAACGGAUGGGUGGAGAGCAAGAGAAUUUCAGCACAACUAACGGACAGAGCAGCAGACAGAGCCAGAGCGCCGGGAACGGUGGGCGGACAAGCAGGGCCUCCA